UACGAAGGGGGCGAGCGUUGUUCGGAAUCACUGGGCGUAAAGCGUGCGUAGGCGGCGAUGAAAGUUAGAAGUGAAAGCCCAGGGCUCAACCUUGGAAUUGCUUUUAAAACUCCAUCGCUCGAAUCUCGGAGAGGAUAGCGGAAUUGUCAGUGUAGCAGUGAAAUGCGUAGAUAUUGACAGGAACACCAGUGGCGUAAGCGGCUAUCUGGACGAGUAUUGACGCUGAGGCACGAAAGCGUGGGGAU
rnacentral:rRNA from 1 species